rnacentral:rRNA from 1 species
AUUGAACGCUGGCGGCAUGCUUUACACAUGUAAGUCGAACGGUAACAGGCCGCAAGGUGCUGACGAGUGGCGAACGGGUGAGUAAUGCAUCGGAACGUGCCCAGUCGUGGGGGAUAACGCAGCGAAAGCUGUGCUAAUACCGCAUACGAUCUACGGAUGAAAGCGGGGGACUCAGCAAUGAGCCUCGCGCGAUUGGAGCGGCCGAUGUCAGAUUAGGUAGUUGGUGGGAUAAAAGCUCACCAAGGCGACGAUCUGUAGCGGGUCUGAGAGGAUGAUCCGCCACACUGGGACUGAGACACGGCCCAGACUCCUACGGGAGGCAGCAGUGGGGAAUUUUGGACAAUGGGCGCAAGCCUGAUCCAGCCAUGCCGCGUGAGUGAAGAAGGCCUCGG